rnacentral:sRNA from 1 species
CGCAAAGGGACUGCUACGCUUCUUUUG